CUGAGCCCGGGAGAGAGAGGGGAGGGGGCAGUGCGCGACCGGGUCAUGCAGGUGCAGGCUGGCCGGUCGCUUCCCGCCCUCCCGCCACCCGCAGCUCCCCAGCAGGCGGAGGGCGGCCGCGCGGGUGUGGGCCGGGAGAAGGAGGCGGCUCGGCUGGAGCGCGCCGUCCGCCCGACCCCCGCCGCCUCUCGGGCGCCUGCGCUCACGCUGCGGGGCCCAGCGCAUUGUGAGCCGGGUCGGGCUCCAAGCUGGCAGCGUCUGAGAGCUGUCCUGGGCCGGAGGUGGCGCGACCCCUGUGCGGCCUAGAGUGGGCCUGGGGAUUGGUGGAGUCAGUCCCAAGCAGGACCCACGUUGGAGAGGGGAUUACUGAUGUUACAAGCGCACAUUACUUCAAUCCCCCAGAUGCCUCAGCACUAAUGAUCAUGAUCAGAGACCCCGAGUUCUCUCGUGCUACUACGCUUCGCAACACAUAGCACAAAUGGAAUAUGUAUUGACACACCCCUCUAAACAAGAAGGCCCUCAGCAGAUGCUGGCCCCUUGAUGUUGGACUCCCUAGCCUUCAGAAUGAAAGCCAGCUGCCGUGUUCUGAGUACCCUCUGGAAGGGCCUGCAUGGCAAGGAACUGAUGUUUCCAGCCAGCAGCCAGCAAGAACUGCAAGCCUUGUGAAUGAGCUUGGAAGCAGAUCCUCCCUCACUCAAGCCAUGAUAUGACAACAGCCUGAGACUCAGAGAAAUAGAAAAAUCCAUCCUAAAAUUUAUAUGAAAUCUCAAGGGACCCUGAAUAGCCAAAACGACUGAUGUAGAACAAAGUUGGAGGGGUUCACACUUUCUGAUUUCAAAACUUACUACAAAUCUACAGUAGUCAAAACAAUAUGGUACUAGUGUAAGGACAUAUAGACCAAUGGAAUAGAAUAGAGAGCCCAGAAAUAAAUCCUCACAUAUAUGGUCAAUUGAUUUUCAAGAAGUAUGCCAAGACCAUUCAAUGGGAAAAGGACAAUCUUUGUAACAAAUGGUGCUGGGAAAACUGCAUAUCCAUAUGCAAAAGAAUGAAGUUGGAUUCCUACCUUACACCAUAUAUACAAAUUAACUCAAAAUGGAUCAAAGAUCUAAAGGUAAGACCUACUCUUAGAAGAAAAUGCAGGAGAAAAUAUGACAUUGGAUUUGGCAUAUUUGUUUGAUGUGAUACCAAAUACAAAGGUAACAAAAGAAAAAACCAACAGUGGACCCCGUGAAAACUAAAAACUUCUGUGCGUCGAAAGACACUAUCAAUAGGGUAAAAAGGCAACCUAUAUAAUGGGAGGAAAUAUCUGCAAAUCAUAUUCUGAUAAGGGAUAUGUUUGAGAUAUUUCCAGAAUAUAUAAAUUACUUUUUAAAACAAAAAUAUACUAUUUUUGUGAGGUAAAAGAUAAUUAAAAUUUAGAGGCCGGGCGCGGUGGCUCACGCUUGUAAUCCCAGCACUUUGGGAGGCCGAGGCGGGUGGAUCACGAGGUCAGGAGUUCGAGACCACGGUGAAACCCCGUCUCUACUAAAAAAUAGAAAAAAAAUUAGCCGGGCGUGGUGGCGGGCGCCUGUAGUCCCAGCUACUCGGAGAGGCUGAGGCAGGAGAAUGGUGUGAACCCGGGAGGCGGAGCUUGCAGUGAGCCGAGAUUGUGCCACUGCACUCCAGCCUGGGUGACAGAGCGAGACUCCAUCUCAAAAAAAAAAAAAAAAAAAAAUUUAGAGGUUUAUUCUCUCUCUAUAUAUAUGUAUUUGUAUAUGUGUGUAUGUGUGUAUACAAAUAGACCCCAACUUACGAUGGUUUGACUUACAAUUUUUCAACUUUAUGAUGGGUUUAUUAGGGUAGUAAAUGCAUUUUUGACUUACACUAUUUUCCAUUUACAGUGGGUUUAUUGGGAUGUAAUCCCAUCAUAAGUGGAGCAUCAUUUGUUUUAUAGAAUAUAUAUGUUGAGGAAGACAUAUAUAAGUUAGUAUUAUAAGCUUCAUGAGAUUAGGGGCCACAUCUGGCAUAUGUAACAUUUUUUCCCACAGUGCCUUGUAACAAGAUCUUGACCCACAGUAAGUUUUCAAUAUUUUUAAAAAUUAAAUGAAUGAAUGACAGAGAAAGAAUAUUCUGUUUAAUCCCUACAUUACUACCAGCAUUAUUUUUCUAAAAUUCAGAUCCAUUUGUGCUGUUCCUUGUUUAGAAAUAUUGUGUGACCUCACAGUGCCUUUAGAAUCUGGUGUGAACUCCUUAGAUGGUGGGCAGACCUUCUCUCCAUCUGUUCUCGUGCUCAGCCCCCACAUGGUACAGUAGAAAAGUGGCUUCAGCUUUCAUGUACCUUGGUCAAAUAGGGGCAACAGACACUACCUCAAGGAUUAUUGAAAGGAUUAAAUGAGGCCGGGCAUAGUAGUUCAUGCCUGUAAUCCCAGCUCUUUGGGAGGCAGAGGUGGGCAGAUCACUUGAGCUCAGGAGUUUGAGACCAGCUUAGCCAACAUGGUGAAACCCGAUGUCAACUAAAAAUACAUAAGUUACCCGGGUGUGGUGGCACGUGCUUGUAAUCCCAGCUACUCGGGAGGCUGCGACAGGAGAGUCGCUUGAACCCAGGAGGUGGUGGUUGGAGGUUGCAGUGAGCCAAGAUGGCACCACUGCAUUCCAGCCUGGGUGACAGAGUGAGACUUGGUCUCAAAAAAAAAAAAAAAAAAAAAAAAAAGCAGUAGCAGCAGCCAGGCACAGUGGCUCAUGCCUGUAAUCCCAGCACUUUGGGAGGCCAAGGAGAGAUCACCUGAGGUCAGGAGUUCGAGACCAGCCUGGCCAACAUGGUAAAACCCCAUCUCUACUAAAAAUACAAAAAAUUAGCCGAGUGUGGUGGUGGGUGCCUGUAGUCCCAGCUACUCAGGAGGCUGAGGCAGGAGAAUCACUUGAACCUGGGAGGCGGAGGUUGCAGUGAGCCGAGAUUGUGCCACUGUACUCCAGCUUGGGCAAUAAGAGUGAAACUCCAUCUCAAAAAAAAAAGAUUAAAUGAGGUGUCACCUGAAAAUUUCCAGCGUAUAGUUGUGAUGAGUCAAUUAACAUGUUUCCUUUUCACCCUCCUGCAUGCUGCCCUUCAGCGCACUAUACUAUUCACACUUUCAGAGUGUACAUGUAAUUUCACUUCUCCAUAUUUUGUUCAUGCUUUCCCCACUGCUUUGUGUGUGUCUUCCCCAUCUUCCACCUCUCUAUAAAAAUUAAAUUGAAAGCUUCAAGACAAGUCUCAAAUUGUACUUAGUAAAAGCUUUCUGACUCCCCCAGGAGGCCUUAAUUCUGUCUUUAUGCUUUCAUGUAAUUUUAUAAGACGAUUUCUAAGAAACUUUCAUAGGCUAUCUUAUAUUACAGUUAUUUGUGGACAUAACUUGUGGACAUCUAUAUGUAUCUUAAAAGCCCAAAACAAUAUUAAUUAAACUGAGCUGAUUUUGUUGACCAGGAAAUUUGGAUCUUAAAUCUCAUAACUGAAAUAUAUCAUAAAAUCAUCCAAAGCACGCUCUCUCUAUACAUAGUUCCUCUCUUUAUGUGAUAACACCCAGCCUGGCAGUAUAGCACCCUUGCCACCCACAGCUCUCUGGAAGAUAUAGCUGUACAAGAUAACAUGAGGUAAUGUGACUUCUAGGGAUAGGUGGUGGUGGGGAAGCCCAUCACUGCUUAGACCAGCGUCGAACAUGCCUGACCCAGGUGGAGUAAAUUAUUUGCUCAGAAAUGACUUGUAUGGUCCAGGUUCUCUCAGAGGAGCCAGGCUAGUUCAUGAAGAAGAAGUUUAGUGUGUAUUGCCAGUUGAAUGUGAGUACUGGAGCUCAGUGGUCUUCCUCAUCUAGAUCCAGGAAGAGCAGCCAUGUUGUGCCUCACACAGGAUGAAGAAGCCGAGGAAGACAGAAUGUGGGAGAGGCUGGAGCUGGCUGAGAAGCAAAGACAAGGGGGACACAGAGGGACAAGCCACCCUGUCCCUGAGAAUUCCCCAGUUCUCUGGCCAAUUUGGAUGAAACCCAGCAACUCUUUGUGUUCCAUCCUUCGAUACUGUGAGGUCUCUCUAUACACUCAGUAAAUGCCCUUUUUACCUCACUGGACUAAUGCUUUUUAGAGUCACAUGCAUGCUGACUUCAACAAAGCAAAUUGUUUAUCUGAAUCAACUCUGCCCUGUACCAUGUCCAGUCACUUGAAUUUCUAUUUCAUCUUCGACUCUCCAUAUGCUAAUUAUGACUUCGGGCAAAUCUUUUGUUCGCUCUGUGUAUUUGUCCAUUUUCACAUUGCUAUAACGAUACCAUUGAGACUGGGUAAUUUAUAAACAAAAGACAUUUAAUUGACUCACAGUUCUGCGUGGCUGGAGAGGCCUCAGGAAACUUACAAUCAUCUUGGAAGGAAAAGGGGAAGCAGGGCACAUCUUACAUGGCAGCAGGCAAGAAGAAGAGAAAGGGGUAAGUGCCACACACUUAUCAAACAAGCCCAUCUCAUGAGAACUCACUAUCACGAGAACAGCAUGGGGAACUGCCCUCGUGAUUCAAUCACAUCCCACCAGGACCCUCCCUUGACAUGUGGGGAUUACAAUUAGGAUUGCAAUUCAACAUGAGAUUUGGGUGGGGACACAGAGCCAAACCGUAUCACUCUCUGUCUCAGUUUCUUUAGUAGGUAAAAUGCAAUAAUUUCAUAUGGUGCUUUAUCACUUUCCAUACAUUAUCUCAUGUGAAUUUUUAAAAAGUUCUUAUGAUACAGGCUAAUAAUUUUUUCCCACGUUUUACAAACAAAGGAACUUUCCCAAGAUCUCACAAUUAAGUCCUAGUGAAAUGGGACUCAAACACCAGUCUCUGACUUCUGUCUACUAAGGUGGUCAUCAACUCUACCUCAGAGAAUAUAAAUUUUUUUCAAUUGUAAGUCUUUGCAGAUUGAUUAAGAGCCCCUUCUUGAGAAUUUUUGGUGAAAGACUUUGAAGUCAUAAGAGGUAACAGUGACUUCAUAUUAUAUUUGUAUGAGUCCUGUUUCAAAAUAUAUUGAUAAUGUGGCUGGGUGUGGUGGCUCAUGCCUGUAAUCCAGCACUUUGGGAGGCCGAGGUGGGCAGAUCACCUGAGGUCAGGAGUUCAAGACCAGCCUGGCCAACACGGCAAAACCCCAUCUCUACUAAAAAUACAAAAAUUAGCCAGGCAUGGUGGCAUAUGCCUGUAAUCCCAGCUACUCGGGAGGCUGAGGCAGGAGAAUCGCUUGAACCCAGAAGGCAGAGGUUGCAGUGAGCCGAGAUCAUGCCAUUGCAUUCCAGCCUGGGCAACAAAGUAAGACUCCAUCUCAAAAUAGAUGAUAGAUAGAUAGAUAGAUAAUGAAUUCUGUGAUAGGACCACUAGAGUGGAGAUCUGUAGUUAUAAUAAAGUAUUUUAUUUCUAAAAAUAUGCAUAAUACUUGCCUGUGUCAUGGGCUUCAUGAAGAAUUCCAGUUACUAGCUGAAAGUUUAAUUGCAGGGUUUGGGGCUCAAGAUGUUACUUAUCCUCAUGGGCAGUACCUGGUACUUCCCCACUGUAAAAUAUGCUAGCUCAGGUCACAAGGAACUUUGAGUGCUAGGAUAGUACCACAUGGUCCAGUUCCCCAGAGCUUCUUCCCAGUGUCUCCAUAGCCACUCACACAGCCUGAGCAGGUCUUGCCACUGGCAGCUCUCUUCCCUUACUUCCUCCAGGCCGGGGGUUGGCCUGAUUCUGCUUAGAGCCUGCAUGCGGCUCCCUCAGAGCCUUGGGGUGGCCGAUCUUUGCUGCUUCCCAGAACCACCUUGUACUCUUCCAUGCAGAGCCCUGUUGAGUCACCAUGCCUUCCUCCAGCUGCUGCCACAGACCACAUGGCUUCUUUCUCAAUUCACUCUGAAAGAGAAAAGUACGUUAUGCAAACUAGGUCUGAGCACAAGAGCACAACCCCCUUCCUCCCCAACACAGAAGCACACUGGGGGCUCCUCGUGUAAUUUAGAGGUUAACUAACACAUCAUGUUGCAACUGUGCCUAUGUGAAAAAGAAAUGGAAGGAGGAACCAGGUUUGGAGCUGAUUCACUGCUGCAAGGGCUUACCCUCAGUCUGACCUGUGCAGUAAGACUGAGAGAAGCACCAAGGAGCCUGGCCUUCACGAAGCCACAGAAUAAUGUCUCUCAGCUUUCUCAUCUGAAAAAUAGAGUGUUUGAUCAGAUGAAUGCCAAAGUCCUUUCCAGAUCCAAAAUAUUAUAACUCUCUCAUGCACACAUGGAAAAACAACACAAAACAAAACCGGAUGAACUGAAACCAUUUCUCUAUCCAAGGCUCCCAUAGUGGUUCUAGCGUGAGUCAGAGUGUUCAUUCAGACAUCUCUUCCUGGGCAUGCUAGCCCUAUCCAUGGUUGGGUUGCUGCUGCUAUAACUGGCUUUUGGCUGCAACACUGAAAUUAUAUCAGGUUCCCAGGACACAAACCACAGUCAAGAAAGUUCUUCCUGAGUUCUGAAGGUCAAGCAAUUAGAAUUUUCUCAGGCUCGUAGAAGAGUGGAAUUCUGGAAACCAGUCUUUGCCUCAGGGGAGCAUCUGUUGGAAGUUCUUAGGUUAUUGGAUCUUCAUUCCAGAGAGGGCCCUGCUCCAUACCCAGAAGGAAGGAAUGCUGCACAGAGAGGCCAAGAAGAAUCUGGACAGGCCUGGCUCAGUUUCCUCAGCCUGUGAGCAUUAGAUCAUCCCUUUUUGUCCAAUCACUUUUCUACACAGCUGUCCAUACUUUGAACCUGAUCAUAAAAAUGGGCAGCGUCUUCUGUAUCUUUGGGUCUUCAUUCUGAAGGCUCCCAUGUCACAUACAACUAUGAUCAAAUACAUUUGUAUGCCUUUUCUCCUA